rnacentral:lncRNA from 1 species
AGCCCCAAAUGUCCGUGGAACCGGCCCCACUAACCUGCAUCCAGCUGCCUCUUCCACCUGGGCCCUGCUCUCAGAUGGAAGUGUCACCAAACACCCAGAUCGCCGUGCUCCUGCUUCUCUGGGCGCCUGGCCUCCAUCACAGCAUGCCCACUCUGUGCCCGCUGCAACCUCCUCUGACUCUCCCACUAGACCGGUGCCUGGUACACAUGCUCCUGCGUGCAUGAACAUCGGUCAGCUAUGGGUCCUCAAGAUGACAAAACCCCCUGCUCCUGUGUCCUCACGGGGAUCUGCACCAGCACUGGGCUGAACACUCUCCCUGCAAUCUGUCAGUCACGUCUUCUGUAGCAUUUUCUUUCUGGCAACAACGGUUGGGGUCAUUAAAAGUGUCUUUGAAAUGC